rnacentral:tRNA from 1 species
GCCUGGGUGGCUCAGUUGGUUGAGCAUCUGACUUUGGCUCAGGUCAUGAUCUCAUGGUUUGUGAGUUCAAGCCCCACGUUGGGCU